rnacentral:rRNA from 1 species
GACGAACGCUGGCGGCGCGCUUAACACAUGCAAGUCGAACGAGUGGCGAACGGGUGAGUAAUACGUGAGUAACCUUCCCUCUAUUUGGGAUAAGCCUUGGAAACGGGGUCUAAUACCGGAUAAAGGGGGCUGGGCUCGGGGCCUAUCAGCUUGUUGGUGGGGUGAUGGCCUACCAAGGCGGUGACGGGUAGCCGGUCUGAGAGGGUGACCAGCGACAGUGGGACUGGGAUACAGCCCAGAGUCCUACGGGAGGGGGCAGUGGGGGAUAUUGGACAAUGGGCGAAAGCCGGAAGCAGCGACGCCGGGUGGGGGAUGAAGGCUUGCGAGGUGUAAACCUCUUUCGAGAACGGGGAGGUGGAGAAGAAGCGACGGCUAAAUACGGUCCAACAGCCGCGGUAAUUC